AACGUACGCUGGCGGCACGCCUAACACAUGCAAGUCGAACGCAGUAGCAAUACUGAGUGGCAAACGGGUGAGUAUAAUGUGGGAAUCUGCCUUUUGGUUUGGAAUAACACGGGGAAACUUGUGCUAAUACCGAAUAAGCCCUUACGGGGAAAGUUUUAAUGCCGAAAGAUGAGCCCGCACUUGAUUAGCUAGUUGGUAAGGUAAAAGCUUACCAAGGCAACGAUCAAUAGCUGUUCUUAGAGGAAGACCAGCCACAUUGGGACUGAGACACGGCCCAG
rnacentral:rRNA from 1 species